AAAGGUACCUGGCACAGGAGAUACCAUGAUCACUAAGAUGGGUCCUCAAGGCAGUGUGCUGGCCCUUGUGAUUUCCCCAAAUGUUGGAAAAGUGACUGCAUAAUUUGUGGUAGUGGAGGAGAGGCUGAGUUUGUUCUCUCUCUCU
rnacentral:snRNA from 1 species